rnacentral:rRNA from 1 species
UACGGAGGGUGCGAGCGUUGUUCGGAAUCACUGGGCGUAAAGGGCGUGUAGGCGGUCCGCUAAGUCUGAUGUGAAAGCCCGGGGCUCACCCCCGGAAGUGCAUUGGAAACUGGCGGACUCGAGUCCCGGAGAGGAGAGUGGAAUUCCUGGUGUAGCGGUGAAAUGCGUAGAUAUCAGGAGGAACACCGGUGGCGAAGGCGGCUCUCUGGACGGUGACUGACGCUGAGACGCGAAAGCGUGGGGAGCAAAC